UCCUUGAAGCAAAUAGUGAACCUCAACUGAUCAUUCCAUUAUUCAGUCCUUCAUAUCAACAGACUCCUAUUAAGCAUUUUAUCCGUUCUUCAGUUUUGUCUGAAACUUUGACGGAGACAGCUUCUGCAUCUGCUAACCCUAUGCUACAAGGGCUCACCUUCCUAAGCAGAACCUUAAGAUGAAAGCAGCAGCUUUGGUUUUACCCGUCAUUGAGUCUACUGCUCUGCUGCAAUUCAAAAGCUGGUAUUCUUAAGGGAAGCUCCUUUUGAAGGCAUCCAGUAGCAAUGAUGGCAUAAAAUAUGGGGCACUGCAGAUGCCAUUUAGAAAAACUUCUUCAAUUCAAUGUGGACCACCAUGGCUAAAUGAAGUUCAAAUAACGUUCUCUCUGAAUUUCCAGUUGGAUAACAAGAGUUGACAUAUGUUAAUACAAAGCAAAUGUGCUUUCUUGUUCUCUCCUUCUCUAGUACUGUUCUCUUUAUUUUUCUUUCUCUCUCUCGCUCCCUUUCACUCUCUCUUUCUCUUUCAAUCUCUCCCUCCCUCUACCUUUCCCCCCUCACACAAACAGCAUACCAAUACAUGAGACAGACAGAGAGAAAUACCAUCAGUUAAUGGAUGCAUUGCUAGAACAGAAAUCAAGCCAAGCCUAUCAAACCUGUACAUAAACACCAAGUGCCACAAAACAAGAGAUCCCUUCUCUUUAAUAUGUUUGGAUGCAUCACCUAUGAGCUGUGUUAAAAAAUAAAAUGGC